rnacentral:rRNA from 1 species
CCUACGGGUGGCAGCAGUGGGGAAUAUUGCGCAAUGGGCGAAAGCCUGACGCAGCGACGCCGCGUGAGGGAUGAAGGUCCUCGGAUCGGAAACCUCUGUCAGCAGGGAAGAAAGGUCACUGUGCUAAUCAGCAGUGAAUUGACGGUACCUGCAAAGGAAGCACCGGCUAACUCCGUGACAGCAGCCGCGGUAAUACGGAGGGUGCGAGCGUUAAUCGGAAUUACUGGGCGUAAAGCGCGCGUAGGCGGUAUGUCAAGUCAAGGGUGAAAGCCCCGCGCUCAACGUGGGAAAUGCCUUUGAAAAUGGCAGACGUGAGUGUGUGAGAGGAUGGUGGAAUUCGUGGUG